rnacentral:tRNA from 1 species
GCCUGGUUGGCUUAUUAGGAAGAGCGCAGGACUCAUCAUCUCGGGGGUCGUGGGUUCCAGUCCCACACUGGGCA